ensembl:misc_RNA Y_RNA Y RNA
GGCUGGUCUGAUUGUAGACCAGUGAUUGGUUUAUAACCAGUAAUUGAUCACAACUGGUUAGAUUUCUUUGUUUCUUCUUCACUCCCACUGCUUCACUUAAUUAGCCUUAA